rnacentral:rRNA from 1 species
AGGACGAACGCUGGCGGCGUGCUUAACACAUGCAAGUCGAGCGGAAAGGCCCUUCGGGGUACUCGAGCGGCGAACGGGUGAGUAACACGUGAGUAACCUGCCCCAAACUUUGGGAUAACCCUCGGAAACGGGGGCUAAUACCGAAUAUUACUUCUGGUCGCAUGGCUGGUGGUGGAAAGUUUUUCGGUUUGGGAUGGACUCGCGGCCUAUCAGCUUGUUGGUGAGGUAAUGGCUCACCAAGGCGAGGACGGGUAGCCGGCCUGAGAGGGCGACCGGCCACACUGGGACUGAGACACGGCCCAGACUCCUACGGGAGGCAGCAGUGGGGAAUAUUGCACAAUGGGCGGAAGCCUGAUGCAGCGACGCCGCGUGAGGGAUGACGGCCUUCGGGUUGUAAACCUCUUUCAGCAGGACGAAGCGCAAGUGACGGUACCUGCAGAAGAAGCGCCGGCCAACUACGUGCCAGCAGCCGC